rnacentral:rRNA from 1 species
UACGUAGGGCGCAAGCGUUAUCCGGAAUUAUUGGGCGUAAAGAGCUCGUAGGCGGUUUGUCGCGUCUGCCGUGAAAGUCCGGGGCUCAACUCCGGAUCUGCGGUGGGUACGGGCAGACUAGAGUGAUGUAGGGGAGACUGGAAUUCCUGGUGUAGCGGUGAAAUGCGUAGAGAUCGGGAGGAACACCGGUGGCGAAGGCGGGUCUCUGGGCCGAUACUGACGCUGAGGAGCGAAAGCGUGGGGAGCGAACAGG